rnacentral:rRNA from 1 species
UACGUAGGGGGCAAGCGUUGUCCGGAAUCAUUGGGCGUAAAGAGCGUGUAGGCGGCUCGGUAAGUCCGCUCUGAAAGCCCGGGGCUCAACCCCGGGAGGCGGGCGGAUACUGUCGGGCUAGAGUCCGGAAGAGGCGAGUGGAAUUCCUGGUGUAGCGGUGAAAUGCGUAGAUAUCGGGAGGAACACCAGUGGCGAAGGCGACUACCUGGCCUGUUCUUGACGCUGAGGCGCGAAAGCUAGGGGAGCAAACGGG